AUUCAGCUGACAAGUUUCAACUAGGACGAAACGUGCGUCCUGAAU
rfam:Schistosoma mansoni, Puerto Rico, WGS project CABG01000000 data, contig: 0199